CUUACCAGUACCCAGUGUUCGCUGUUAGUUGGUUGUACUUACCAGUACCCAGUGUUCUGCUGUUAGUUGGUUGUACUUACCAGUAACCAGUGUUCGCUGUUAGUUUGUUGUACUUACCAGUACCCAGUGUUAUGCUGUUAGUUGGUUGUACUUACCAGUACCCAGUACCCAGGGUCAGACAGGCCAAUCACGGAAUGCCUGGAAUGUUCUGAUGCCGGGGAUGGAGCAUUGCAAGUUAAGACCAUGUUUAACCAUUGUUCUUUCUCUUACGUCUGGUCUUCACAAGAAAAGGUCACGGUUGUUUUGUAUGGGUAUCCUUCAUUUAUUUGGCGUGGGCUACGGUCAAACAGUAGCCUGUGUGGUGUUGGGUUAACUAACCGUGAAUUCAGUCAACUGUCUGGACAAUCUAGCCAGGUCAUUACAAUAUAUUAUAGAAUACAGUCGCACGACAGAAGUCUUCAGUGCCACAUUACGACAGUAGAGGUCCCUCAACUAACAGCAACAACUGAUGAUUUUGUUCAAAUUGCAGUACCAUGGGUUAGUUAUAAAAAAUCUUUGGUAGUAGUGUUGAUAGUUGAUUUGGCUUUACCACAAAUUAGCAUUGCAUUUCUUAGCAGUUCUGCUAUUUACUUUCUUUCAAGGAUUGCUCCAGCAGAGCGGCUACUACGCUAUACAAACAAGCUAAAACGGCACACCUCUGAGAACAAGCCAUCUCGACCAGCUGACAGUCAGGUAUGCUAGCUAGCUACAUCAAGGGUGAAGGUGUAAUACAUCACGAGAUCAGACAGCCAUGCACAUAAAGAGACGCACAUGGAGUUAUUGAACUGGGAACAUUUUCACUCUGAGAAAAUUUACAAAAUUACGUUAAUCUUACUGCGCUGAAAUUGUAACUAUUUCACACAGGGCAGAGUUUUGUUAGGGUUUGACCAACUAUUUGUUUGCAUAACCAAUAUAAUACAACAAUUUAAACCUAUAUAAUAAAAUUAGUUGUGGUGCAUAACUUAUGAAUACUAAUGCUAAACAUAAGAGGUUUAUAUUGUAUUAACAUAGAUUGAGCGACAUAUAAUAGACAUGACUAACUGGAGGGUUGCUGGCUAGUAGUGUAGGCUGAGUAGACUCGUGACACACACACAAUGCCUGGUUGUGGGGCCGCUCAAGGACAGGUGUAUGUGAGGAACUGAUAGAGGGGAGAAUGGCUGUGGCACAAGAACAGGCACUACUGUCCUUGGGUGUCUGACUCUCGGUUACACACACGAAGAUAAGCUAGAAGACAACUAUGCUUGGCAACAAAGAUGCGUCUAGAGGCUGGGACCAGCCUGCACGCCAACGAUAGGCUGGAGUAAGUCUAAACCACACCCAAGCCUCUACCAUGACAGGCCCUCAGGGAGAGGGAACUACGUCUGUCAAGAAGUAUUUAAGGAAGAACUUAUGUCAUUUCAGUUCUCUGUUUGCCCUGCGAGGUGUUACAGUGAACCCGUAUAUACAAAGAUUGCAUUUACCAUUUAUUCUGCUUGACUAAUUCUAUUAAUAAACAGCUGAAAAU
rnacentral:lncRNA from 1 species